rnacentral:misc_RNA from 1 species
UUAAGUUCAGCGGGUAUUCCUACCUGAUCCGAGGUCAAUCUUCAGAAGUUGGGUGUUUCACGGCGUGGCCAUGCUGCGCUCCAGUGCGAGGUGUGCUACUACGCAAGGGAGGCCGCAGCGAGACCGCCACUGUAUUUGGGGGGCGGCGCGCCCUCCGCGGAUGGCGGAGGUCGGUUGCCGGUCCCCAACGCCGCAGCCCG